UUGAGCUCAGAUCAGGUAGGACUACCGCCUGAACUUAAGCAUAUCAAUAAGGCGAGGAACAGAAACCAACAGGGAUUCCCCUAGUAGUGGCGAAUGAAGCGGGAAAAGCUCAAGUUUGAAAUCUGGCGGGUGACCUCCAGAGUUGUAAGCUGAAGAGGCAUAGACCGACGCGGUCCGGGCUCAAUUUCCUUGGAACAGGAGGUCAUGGAGGGUGAGAACCCCGUCUGUGGCUCGAGUGCCGUCGUCCUUGCGUCUUGCCCUCGUAGAGUCGGGUUGUUUGGGAAUGCAGCUCAAAAUGGGUGGUAAAUUUCAUCUAAAGCUAAAUAUUGGCGAGAGACCGAUAGCAAACAAGUAGAGUGAUCGAAAGAUGAAAAGUACUUUGAAAAGAGAGUGAAACAGUACGUGAAAUUGUUGAAAGGGAAGCGUUUGGCAUCAGCCCAUGGCGCUCGAAGAUCAUCCGGGCUUCUGUCCGGUGCACUUUUCGAGCGUUGGGCCAGCGUCGACUUUGCCCGCCGGAGAAAGGCCAGGGGGACGUGUCUCCCUUCGGGGAGAGUUAUAACCCCUGGCGUCAUGCGGUGUGGUGGGGUCGAGGUCCGCGGUUUAUCCUAGGACGCUGGCGUAAUGG
rnacentral:rRNA from 1 species